rnacentral:rRNA from 1 species
CCCGCACAAGCGGUGGAGCAUGUGGUUUAAUUCGAUGCAACGCGAAGAACCUUACCUGGGCUUGACAUCCCGGGAAUCCCUUGGAAACAAGGGAGUGCCCUUCGGGGAACCUGGAGACAGGUGCUGCAUGGCUGUCGUCAGCUCGUGUCGUGAGAUGUAGGGUUAAGUCCCGCAACGAGCGCAACCCUUGUCUUUAAUUGCCAUCAUUGAGUUGGGCACUUUAAAGAGACUGCCGGUGUUAAACCGGAGGAAGGUGGGGAUGACGUCAAAUCAUCAUGCCCCUUACGACCUGGGCUACACACGUGCUACAAUGGUUGGUACAACGAGUUGCGAGUCGGUGACGGCGAGCUAAUCUCUUAAAGCCAAUCUCAGUUCGGAUUGUAGGCUGCAACUCGCCUACAUGAAGUCGGAAUCGCUAGUAAUCGCGGAUCAGCACGCCGCGGUGAAUACGUUCCCGGGCCUU